CAAAUCGCUAGGCAGUGGCAUCUCUGCUGUCUGUGGUUCUGCGGCCAGUCACAUUUGGAUACCCAUGAAACAGAAGAAGCUCUAGGGAAGAGAUUGGGAAAAUACCUGAUAAUCCCUGCAUGUAAUAUCUGCCCGAGCAGACCUAGCCUGUGAGCCACCGUAUAAUGAAAUCUGUCAAGAGGAGUCUUCUAUGAGAAUCAUUUCUGCUACCCUCUCACCUCCUCAAGAAUAGUUUAGAUGGAUCAGUUCCUUCUCUGAGCUGCUGUGCAUCUUCAGAAACUCUGGAGCUGGCAAAAAUGGAGGGAAAAAGCAGCUGGAAAAAAAAAGCAGCUGAAAAGCAGCAACGUUCUUGGUGCUGGAAUGGAUUUGUGUAUAAUAUAAACAAAAUUAAAAUGACUGAUCUGUUCUGUUGCUUUGCUGCACUAAGUCAGGACAACCAUGAGCUAUUAUGGCUCCAUUUGCAUGAUAUCUAAGGUUCUGUAUGGUUGUUAUGUUCUUAGGAUUUUGAAUCUCUUUCAACAGGCCGCAAAACCUUCAUAGGCUACCAGUUUUCCUUUAUAGUAAGUGAGGUUAAGCUUUGUAACAGCAGCUCAAAAAGCAAUACUUGUGUGUCCACUCUCUGACACAUCAUUAUUGUGUGAUAUGUAUCAAAGCUUCCCUCUUUUUAUCAGAUUGCAGAAUUGUCCCAUUUGUACAACUGCUCAAAGUAAAUAAAUGAUCUAGACAAUGCUAAGUGCA